rnacentral:rRNA from 1 species
GGCGAGUGAAGCGGGAAAAGCUCAAAUUUGUAAUCUGGCGCCUUCGGUGUCCGAGUUGUAAUCUCGAGAAGUAUUUUUCCGCGCUGGACCGCACAUAAGUCUGUUGGAAUACAGCGUCAUAGUGGUGAGAACCCCGUAUAUGGUGCGGAUGCCCAGUGCUUUGUGAUAUACUUUCGAAGAGUCGAGUUGUUUGGGAAUGCAGCUCAAAUUGGGUGGUAAAUUCCAUCUAAAGCUAAAUAUUGGCGAGAGACCGAUAGCGAACAAGUACCGUGAGGGAAAGAUGAAAAGCACUUUGGAAAGAGAGUUAACAGUACGUGAAAUUGUUGGAAGGGAAACGCUUGAAGUCAGACUUGCAUUUUGGAGUUCAGCCGCAAGGUGUAUUCUUCAAAUCGCAGGCCAGCAUCAGUUUUUGGGGGUGGAAAAUCGCGGUUUGAAGGUAGCAGUCUCGGCUGUGUUAUAGCUUUCCGCUGGAUUCACUUUUGGGGACUGAGGAACGCAGUACGCUUUUUGCAAGACUCUAGAGUCUUCCGUACUUAGGAUGCUGGUGGAAUGGCUUUAAACGA